UUACGGUUUUUUCAAUUAUAAAUUGAAAAAAAGUGAUAUUUCUAAGCCGAUUUUCGAACUUCCGACCAUGGCAAAGGAAAGAGCAUACUUUUUUCUAUAUAAUGGUAUAUUCUUUAAAUAACUUUUCUAAAUAGUUAAAAUUUUAUGAAGAAAAUAGACAAAAUUUGAGUAUCGUUCGAUAGCGAAUUUUCACGGUUUUUUCAAUUAUAAAUUGAAAAAAAGUGAUACUUAAAGCCGAUUUUCGAACUUCCGACCAUGGCAAACGAAAGAGCAUACUUUUUUCUAUAUAAUGGCAUAUUCUUUAGAGAUCUUUUCUAAAUAGUUAAAAUUUUAUGAAGAAUAUAGACAAAAUUUGAGUAUCGUU